rnacentral:lncRNA from 1 species
GAGAGAAAAAAUUUUUAGUUAACCCAAUUUUUUCCUUUAGACAUGAUGUAUUCAAUCAUUGCUUAUUUAUUCCAUUUUUAGAUUUCUACAAACUAGAAACCAUGGUAAACCCAGAAGAAAAGGCACUCCAGUUCAACCUUCUCUACAAAUGAAGGAAGGGGCAGCCAAUCUUACUUCUCCCAUAGACCAGACUGAAAGAUGGCUAAGAAUGUACUAAAGCACACUUCCACAUGUAGGCAUGGGCAUUUCUUGAAAGAACUGGCCUUGGGAGAGCAACUGAAGAGGAAAGAACCAUCCUGAAUUCAGGUAUAUAUAACACCAGACAACAUGGUCAGAAAAGCUUCAGCAUGAAUGCCACAUAUUAAAGGAAGCCUCAAACCCACCAGAAUGGACACCUUCAGAAUGCUGCAGCAAAGAGUAAAAAUAUAAAAAUUAGAAUGCGAGAAAAAUUCCAGGAAUAAACAAAACAAUCUAGGGUCAUCAGAUUCCGUAAUUGCACCUUGGACAUUUUAUGUGGCAGUUGCUACUUCCCAUUGCUAGGCCUAAGGUGAUGUAAGCUCUGUUCUUCAUUUCUUAAACAUUUCCCAACAUAUCUGAGUAGGCUUUGCUAUUAUAAUCAUUUUAUUUGAACCAUCUGGAACAAAAUUUCUAUUCCUGCCAGAAUUUUAUUACUCAUUUUUUUCUGUGGCAUCAAUAGCUGUUUUCCCAACAUCUAGAAUAAUGCUCUACACAAGCCCAAGAAUCCUUGAUCACUAAUUACUUGAAAUUUUUAUAAUAACUUAAGGGUCAAAAGGUCUUGAGGAGCACUGGGUAGUUCUCAUAUGGAUCUAUAAAUGCAUAUGUAGGAAGAAAUUGCUAGAGAAGAAAUCUAGACCCUCACUCACAUCACUAAUAGUAAUAGCUUCUUCAGAAGAGCAUACCAUUGAAAAUCACCAAGUGGUCCCAUCCCAGCAGCAGCAGGUCACUGGGCCACCUUACAAAUGGAAUGUUUACCUAAGGGUGGUACAUCCACCCACUGCUUAGGAACAGCCAGAGACAUUUUGGCAUGAUGGUGCCUAACAGACACAUUCAACUCUCUCUCUUCUUUUGGAGAAUUAAAGGCAAAUAAUACAAGGAAAGUGUAAUGGAGGAUGCUCCUAAAAGUGGCCCUGAAGUUCAGCAAAGGAGACUAAGAUCAUGACCCUCCCUGGGCGUACAGGAAGAUAGUGAGUACUUCCUAGUUCAAAUGUGAAGCAAACGACAAAGCAUCGUCUUGUCAAUAUGAGAUUCUCUUCAGAUUCUUUCAAAUAAAAGCAUUCUAACUCAAGGAAGAGCAGGUAAACAGGAAGCAGUGGCAGACAGUUGCCCCUCCAAAGGGCACUUGAGCUACAGGACACAGCCUAUAAAUGCUGCAAGUCAUAUGAAAACUCUGUGAAUACAAGUUCCCAGAAGAAUGCUAAGUCCUCCACUUCAGUGACUAUGAAGGGGUUGGAAUAUUGCAGAUCCAAAGCCUUGUGACAUUCAUCUGGGACCAUUUUAAACACUAUGCCUUGCCCACCUCUAUGUCUGAUCUAAGGUCCUGUGUCUAAAAGAUAAACUUUUUGAAUGCAUUAAUUUAACAAUGCUCUAGCCCAACCAGAAUGAUAAGCAUCCCACCAAAGAACAUGGAGGCUAUAACUGAAGGGUGUCCGCUUGGCUUUUACUGUUGUACUUGAUGCAUCUUCUAAUGUGUUUAAGAGCUACCUGGACACAGGACUUUCUUUCUGUUACUAUAUAAACUUCAUCAAUCUGUAACCGCCUUGGAACAUGGUAUUUGGGGUUGUCUAAAUAUGUGUUCCUCUCCCAUGACCACUUAACUUUUGCUUCAGAAUGACCUACCUCAUCUCAGUGAAGAUACUCCAGGGUCUCUAGUUUCUAGGAACAUAUGUGAGCUGUGAGGUAGUCCAUUUUUUUUAUUAGAUAUUUUCUUCGUAUAUAUUUCAAGUGCUAUCCCCAAAGGUCCCCUAUACCCUCCCUCCCCCCGCCCUGCUCCCCCUUGGUGAAGAAAUAAGCAGAAGACGUUAAGAUUAACGCAAAGCAGAGAUAACAAGUAGGAGGAACUAAGAGAGAGCCAAAUUACCAAAUGGACACAGGGAUUACCUAACUAAGAUAACAUCUGGAUAAACAACAGCAACUUUAGAUUUUAAGUGAACUCCAAUUCCCUAAUUCCAUGCCUAUCUCUUCCAGACUUUGUAAUUUGUUUAGGAAGAACCCUACCACCUCAUUUUCAUACAUCUAUUUACAAAAUCCUCUAUCUGAGGUUCUAGUUCAUACACCUAGAGGACUGUAGCUUUCUGGCUCCCAGUUUGAUGGUCUUUUCAUCACACCAGAAAUUCUGAGCAAAUUAAAUCUUCAUUUUCUUGUAAUUUAUUCUUAUUCCAAGAUUGGAUAAUGAAAGUUUACAAACUAAUUUUUGAUAUUUUUUUACCAAAAUUUUAUAAAUGUCCAAUUUUUCUUUUCUUUUCUGUUAUAAAUGUGAAUUUUGAUUGCAACAGGAACUAAUCUAAGGGACAACCGCAAAUCUACCAAAAUGUUGUCACAGGUGCUUUUUUAAAACAAAUAAUCUAAUCUUUAAAUGAAGUGUUUUGUUUUGUUUUUUUAAGUUUGCAGAUAAUAGUGAGAGACAUGUCAGAGAGAUCUGUGAUUUCCUUCUUCCUGAAGCUAAAUCCUUGAUCAAACUCUCAACCUGAGUCACUCAGAAAGCAAAUCAUGGAGGGAGAGUCUGCUUGGCAGGGAAAGAAGUCAGAAGAUACAGCAGUAACAGGAGAGGAAGGAAAGCACAGGCAUAAGGACAGGGACAGAGCAGGUGGCUCCUAGACAGAUUCUUUUGGAUGCAUUCAUAAAGGGGUGUUUAGUAUGAGAGGAAUGUAAGGGUGCCAUUUAUCUUGAUUGUGUCCCAAAGCCCUUCACAGAAUAUUUUCUUGAAGACGCUUUUACAAAAAGUGAGCUCAAAUUGCCUUGAAAAUUGGCUGAUGAACAACAGGCAAGCAAAUGUACCUCUUUCUAAAACAGCUCCUGAAAUGACAAAGGGAUUUCUGUCCUUUCUUUUUCAGUCCUCACACGUUCUCAAAACCUACCUGAAAGUAAUUUUUCUUCUCUCAGCUACAAAGUAAUUUAAACUUACAACAUGUUCCGCACCGAGUUUGGUACUCUGGGUUGCAAUGGCCAUACUGCAAGCCAAAAUCAAGGACUUCUUUCUGUGUUUGUAGUCUGACAUAUUGGGAUUCUUGGCUUCUCUGUACUAUAUGGAAAUUACAGGACCAAAUUUUAAAUAUGGGUAAUUCUAGAAGAUUUGUAUGAUGAUUUGUACAUGCCUAUGGAGUGGGAUGAUUAGAAGGUGUUGGAGUAGUUGUGUCACUGUGGGAGUGAGCUAUAAGACCAUCAUCCUAGCUGCCUGUAAGCUAUUCUUCUACUAGUAGCCUUCAGAUGAAGAUAUAGAAUUCUCAGCUCUACCUGCACCAUGCAUGCCUGGAUGCUUCCAUGCUCCCACCUUGAUAAUGAUGGACUGAAACUCUGAACCUGUAAGCCAGCCCCAAGUAAAUGUUUUCUUUAUAAGACUUGCAUUGGUCAUGGUGUCUGUUCACAGCAGUAAAAGUCUAAGACAAUUUGAGAGUUUUUAAAAAUAUUUUUUAUUAUUAUGUAUUUUCCUAAAUAACAUUUAGAAUGCUAUCCCAAAAGUCCCCCAUACUCUCCCCCCACUUCCCUACCCACCCAUUCCCAUUUUUUGGCCCUGGCAUUCCCCUGUACUGGGGCAUAUAAAGUUUGCAUGUCCAAUGGGCCUCUCUUUCCAGUGAUGGCCGACUAGGCCAUCUUUUGAUACAUAUGCAGCUUUUAAGCUAUGAGAUACAGAUAGAUUCCAUUUAUCAAGGAUGUUAGUGUCCUCUAGGGAGGGAGCUGAGUGAGAUGCACAGGUGCCAUAACAGGUAACAGUGUGAGGAACUGGAGAAGAGAGCUUGUGUGUCAUCACUCCCAGCUGGCCUCCUUCUCUUUCCUCCUUAAUCUGUCAUCAUAUCAGAACCUUAGGAAAGCAUAACAUUGGAAUUGUGUUACAUCUUUAACACUCUUCAGAUGUUUCCCAUCGCAGUUUGAAAAUAAUUCAGAAAUUUUCUUAUGUUGUCCAUCUUCACUGACCACCACUGAGGCAUUUGGCAUACCAUUGAAACUCUGCUUUAAGGAUGGAAAGAAUGAAAGACUGAUAAGUGGGUGUAUACACAGUUAAACCUGACUAUAUAAUAUUAACUGUUCUGUUAUUUUUUAAUUGUACCUGGAAAUUCCUAUUUUCAUACAGUCAUAGAAAUGUGAAUCAAAAUGGUUAUACAGUAUGAAAUUUAAAAUAUCAGGGUGUGGGCUGGCAAGAUGGCUCUUUGGUUAAGGGCACCUGUUCCUAAGCUUGACAACCUGAGUUCAAAGCCAAGGCCCACUAAGUAGAAGGGGAAAUCCUAGUCCUGCAAGUUAUCUGUGAUCUCCAUACAUGUGUCAUGGUAUAUGUUCAUGCAUGUAUAUUCACAUACACAGAAAACAAAGCAAUGAAGUAUAAUAAAAAGUAAAAUUUCAGGCUGUGUUUUUAGAAAAUGAAUCAGAUUAUGUUGAACCAAGAGUGCAUUUGUUUUUGCCACAUCUUACAUUCUGGGCUAGUCCAUAGGACUCUGCAAAUUGUAUUGUGUGACUGUUCAGAAGAUGCCUAAGAACUUCCUCAUACAUUAGAAAUAUGUAUUAGGACCUUGAAGGUAAGAUAUUACCUUUAUGCAUUUCAAGCAUAGAAACAAAUCCAUACUUAUUGGUGUAAUAAAACUCUAAAAUAAUUGUGUGUUAAACAUGUUCUUAGUUUAGAGUGAUUUCAGUUCACACACUAAUAGAUUAAUAAAUCAAUCUAAGUCAAUUAUCUUUAA